rnacentral:tRNA from 1 species
GCCUGGGUGGCUCAGUCGGUUAAGCAUCCGACUUCGGCUCAGGUCAUGAUCUCACGGUCUGUGGGUUCAAGCCCCGCGUCAGGCU